rnacentral:rRNA from 1 species
GAUCCUGGCUCAGGAUGAACGCUGGCGGCGUGCCUAACACAUGCAAGUCGAACGGAGUUCUUAAGGAAUGCGACUUCGGUCAAAUGACUUUUGAACUUAGUGGCGGACGGGUGAGUAACGCGUGAGCAACCUGCCUUUCAGAGGGGGGAUAACAUUUGGAAACAGAUGCUAAUACCGCAUAAGAUUACAGUACCGCAUGAUACAGUGAUCAAAGGAGCAAUCCGCUGAAAGAUGGG